rnacentral:rRNA from 1 species
GGCGUAACGCGUAUGCAACCUGCCCCCAUCAGGGGAAUAGCCCGCCGAAAGGCGGAUUAAUGCCCCAUAGGCCCAGGGCGCCGCAUGGCGCUAUGGGUAAAGCUCCGGCGGAUGGGGAUGGGCAUGCGUGCCAUUAGCUAGUUGGGGCGGUAACGGCGCACCAAGGCGACGAUGGCUAGGGGGUCUGAGAGGAUGGUCCCCCACACUGGUACUGAGACACGGACCAGACUCCUACGGGAGGCAGCAGUGAGGAAUAUUGGUCAAUGGGCGGAAGCCUGAACCAGCCAUGCCGCGUGCAGGAUGACGGCCCUACGGGUUGUAAACUGCUUUUCCCCGGGAAGAAUAAGCCCCUCGUGAGGGGUGAUGCCGGUACCGGGGGAAUAAGGAUCGGCUAACUCCGUGCCAGCAGCCGC